rnacentral:rRNA from 1 species
AACUUCGGGAGAAGGGGGGCCAUCACCGGUGAUAGCACUUGCUGCUUGAGCUGGGGGUGGCCGCAGAGACCAGCGAGAAGCGACUGUUUACUAAAAACACAGGUCCGUGCGAAGCCGUAAGGCGAUGUAUACGGACUGACGCCUGCCCGGUGCUGGAACGUUAAGGGGACCGGUUAGUCACUCUUCGGGGUGGCGAAGCUGAGAACUUAAGCGCCAGUAAACGGCGGUGGUAACUAUAACCAUCCUAAGGUAGCGAAAUUCCUUGUCGGGUAAGUUCCGACCUGCACGAAUGGCGUAACGACUUCUCGACUGUCUCAACCAUAGGCCCGGUGAAAUUGCACUACGAGUAAAGAUGCUCGUUUCGCGCAGCAGGACGGAAAGACCCCGGGACCUUUACUACAGUUUGAUAUUGGUGUUCGGUUCGGCUUGUGUAGGAUAGCUGGGAGACUGUGAAGCUCGGACGCCAGUUCGGGUGGAGUCGUCGUUGAAAUACCAGUCUGGUCGUGCUGGAUGUCUAACCUGGGUCCGUGAUCCGGAUCAGGGACAGUGUCUGAUGGGUAGUUUAACUGGGGCGGUUGCCUCCCAAAGGGUAACGGAGGCGCCCAAAGGUUCCCUCAGCCUGGUUGGCAAUCAGGUGGUGAGUGUAAGUGCACAAGGGAGCUUGACUGUGAGACCGACGGGUCGAGCAGGGACGAAAGUCGGGACUAGUGAUCCGGCGGUGGCUUGUGGAAGCGCCGUCGCUCAACGGAUAAAAGGUACCCCGGGGAUAACAGGCUGAUCUUCCCCAAGAGUCCAUAUCGACGGGAUGGUUUGGCACCUCGAUGUCGGCUCGUCGCAUCCUGGGGCUGGAGUCGGUCCCAAGGGUUGGGCUGUUCGCCCAUUAAAGCGGUACGCGAGCUGGGUUUAGAACGUCGUGAGACAGUUCGGUCCCUAUCCGCUGCGCGCGCAGGAAUAUUGAGAAGGGCUGUCCCUAGUACGAGAGGACCGGGACGGACGAACCUCUGGUGUGCCAGUUGUUCUGCCAAGGGCAUGGCUGGUUGGCUACGUUCGGGAGGGAUAACCGCUGAAAGCAUCUAAGCGGGAAGCCUGCUUCGAGAUGAGUAUUCCCACCCACUUGAUGGGGUAAGGCUCCCAGUAGACGACUGGGUUGAUAGGCCAGAUAUGGAAGCCCAGUAAUGGGUGGAGUUGACUGGUACUAAUAGGCCGAGGGCUUGUCCUC